rnacentral:lncRNA from 1 species
UAUGGAAUUGAAUGUGAUUGGUGGUCAUUGGGAGCAAUCCUGUUUGAGAUGGUUGUUGGGUAUCCUCCCUUCUGUUCAGAGCAUCCAAGAAUGACGGCGCGCAAGGUAACUCUUCUAUUUGUUGUUAUGAUGGAAAUAAGAGACAGCGGGGGCCUAUACGAUGAUCUCCAAACUGGAUUCAGACAGUAACUCUGCAAACCAAGAUGAAAUAAGAGACAACAGAGGCCUCUAGAAUGAUCUCCAAAUUGGAUUCAGACAGAACUCUGUAAACCAAGAUCCAAACUAAUCCUUUUUGAAUGCAAUCAGAGAAGAUUGGAAUUGAAAUGCUUGUUUUUCUAUACUAACUGCACUUCAUUUUUUGCAAAAAGAUUGUUUCCACAAUUGUGCUACAGCAUCUUUUUAGGUUUAACAAAG